rfam:Lactonifactor longoviformis DSM 17459 genome assembly, contig: EJ64DRAFT_scaffold00007.7
UAAUUCCUGGGAUGUUCGAUGACUCCUGUCAUUUUGAACCUACAUUUACUUUAAACGGGAUUCCUAUAUUGCUCCUCAGAUGUCAGGCCGUCAUUGCGCAGCGGAAGGCAGAAGAGGUGUUGCGGUAACCCACCUAGCAGCAGCUAGGAGUCAGAAGAUAGGGAACGGCAUCCUGGGUUUACA